GCGAUAGUUCAGUCGAUAGAGCGUGAGAUUCUUAAUCUCAGGGCCAUGAUUUGAGCCCCAUAUUGGGCA